rnacentral:rRNA from 1 species
GAUGAACGCUAGCGGCAGGCUUAACACAUGCAAGUCGAGGGGUAUGCUUCUUCGGAAGCAGAGACCGGCGCACGGGUGCGUAACGCGUAUGCAAUCUACCUUUUACAGAGUGAUAGCCCAGAGAAAUUUGGAUUAAUACCUCAUAGUAUUAUAGAAUGGCAUCAUUUUAUAAUUAAAGUCACAACGGUAAAGAUGAGCAUGCGUCCCAUUAGCAGUUGGUAAGGUAACGGCUUACCAAGGCUACGAUGGGUAGGGGUCCUGAGAGGGAGAUCCCCCACACUGGUACUGAGACACGGACCAGACUCCUACGGGAGGCAGCAGUGAGGAAUAUUGGACAAUGGGCGCAAGCCUGAUCCAGCCAUGCCGCGUGCAGGAUGAAGGUCUUAGGA